rnacentral:lncRNA from 1 species
GUUCAGUUUGGCAAUGUGGGUCUCCCACCUUAAUGACUUUUGAUUUUUUUAAAAUGGUGAAAACAUGUAUUUUUAGAAUCGGUCACUUGGAACCAGUUUAGAUGGUCCCAGUUUUGUUGACAACACUGAAAGUAUCAUAAGCAGGCGCUAACUGUCCAAGACCUCCUUCUUCCACCAGGUCUGCCCAGGGUGUUGCCCUUGGUGGCAUCAGUGUCGCAGAGCUGCUUUCACAGCCUGUUGGAUCUGGUGCGUGUCACUCUCGAUGUCCAAGGGCGCUGUCUUGUGUCUUCUCUCACAGCAGAUUUAGUGGUCGGGAAAUUUGAUGUGGUGGUUAGACGCCUUUCUCCUGGGGAUCCUCUUCUGACAGAAUCUGGGCUGCCUGCAGAGCCACAGGGUGAAUUUGGGGUCCCUAGAAGCCCAAGAGGAUGGAGAAAGGGCAUCCUUCAAAUCUUCCUUGGUGUGAAUAUGGUAUGCCUCUGGAUAAGAAAGAAGAACCAAAAGUCUCAUGGACAUUCUUCCAAAGUUGGACAGCAAAUGUGCCUGAAGGCCUAGAAAACUGGCCUUCUGUCAUGGCCAACCCUGUCAUUACAGGGAGAAGCUUCCUAUGGAGUUCUUUUAUCUGCCUAUUUGGAUCUUCCAAAGAGGAACACCACUGAAAUUUCUCUAAUCAGAAGAGGCUAAACUCAUCGGAGAAAGACUGAAACCUGUGGGUACAUCUGGAAACACAUGCAGACUGAGCUGCAUUAUAGACCAUUGUCCUCCAUUUUGGUUCCACUUAGCAUUCCAAAGCAAAUUACUUUUUUUUACCUUUGACUGUUCUGCAGGCUUUCCAGACUCUGUCCCUGGCUUUGUUUUAUGUCCUCAAAGUUUAGUGAAUUCCCCAGAAAGUCAUUCACUAUUCCCCGCUUUCCCUUGCUUUUUUUUUGGAAGCAAGAUAUCAUUAUGUAGUUCAAGCUGGCUUGAACAGUCCAGGCUGGCCUCGAACUCAUGGUGAUCCUCCUGCCUUGGCCCCCUGAGUGCUGGGAUUACAGGUAUGUGUCAUCACAUCACUAUCCCUUAAUAAUGGCCCUUCCUGUUCCUUAUUGAAGAGGGUAUUUAAGCUCAAUGAUCUAAUCUUUCCUUUGAGUCUCACCUUUGUUUGACUCCUGUGUUGUGAUUUUUCCUGGCAUGACAAUAAAUUUCUGUGUCUUUCUCCAGU